rnacentral:rRNA from 1 species
UACGGGGGGGGGCAAGCGUUGUUCGGAAUUACUGGGCGUAAAGGGCUCGUAGGCGGCCAACUAAGUCAGACGUGAAAUCCCUCGGCUUAACCGGGGAACUGCGUCUGAUACUGGAUGGCUUGAGGUUGGGAGAGGGAUGCGGAAUUCCUGGUGUAGCGGUGGAAUGCGCAGAUAUCAGGAGGAACACCGGUGGCGAAGGCGGUGGUCUGGGCCGGCACUGACGCUGAGGAGCGAAAGCGUGGGUAGCAAACAGG